rnacentral:rRNA from 1 species
AGAGUUUGAUCAUGGCUCAGAUUGAACGCUGGCGGCAGGCCUAACACAUGCAAGUCGAACGGUAGCACAGAGAGCUUGCUCUCGGGUGACGAGUGGCGGACGGGUGAGUAAUGUCUGGGAAACUGCCUGAUGGAGGGGGAUAACUACUGGAAACGGUGGCUAAUACCGCAUAAUGUCGCAAGACCAAAGAGGGGGACCUUCGGGCCUCUUGCCAUCAGAUGUGCCCAGAUGGGAUUAGCUUGUUGGUGAGGUAACGGCUCACCAAGGCGACGAUCCCUAGCUGGUCUGAGAGGAUGACCAGCCACACUGGAACUGAGACACGGUCCAGACUCCUACGGGAGGCAGCAGUGGGGAAUAUUGCACAAUGGGCGCAAGCCUGAUGCAGCCAUGCCGCGUGUAUGAAGAAGGCCUUCGGGUUGUAAAGUACUUUCAGCGGGGAGGAAGGUGUUGUGGUUAAUAACCGCAGCAAUUGACGUUACCCGCAGAAGAAGCACCGGCUAACUCCGUGCCAGCAGCCGCGGUAAUACGGAGGGUGCAAGCGUUAAUCGGAAUUACUGGGCGUAAAGCGCACGCAGGCGGUCUGUCAAGUCGGAUGUGAAAUCCCCGGGCUCAACCUGGGAACUGCAUUCGAAACUGGCAGGCUUGAGUCUUGUAGAGGGGGGUAGAAUUCCAGGUGUAGCGGUGAAAUGCGUAGAGAUCUGGAGGAAUACCGGUGGCGAAGGCGGCCCCCUGGACAAAGACUGACGCUCAGGUGCGAAAGCGUGGGGAGCAAACAGGAUUAGAUACCCUGGUAGUCCACGCCGUAAACGAUGUCUACUUGGAGGUUGUGCCCUUGAGGCGUGGCUUCCGGAGCUAACGCGUUAAGUAGACCGCCUGGGGAGUACGGCCGCAAGGUUAAAACUCAAAUGAAUUGACGGGGGCCCGCACAAGCGGUGGAGCAUGUGGUUUAAUUCGAUGCAACGCGAAGAACCUUACCUGGUCUUGACAUCCACAGAACUUUCCAGAGAUGGAUUGGUGCCUUCGGGAACUGUGAGACAGGUGCUGCAUGGCUGUCGUCAGCUCGUGUUGUGAAAUGUUGGGUUAAGUCCCGCAACGAGCGCAACCCUUAUCCUUUGUUGCCAGCGGUCCGGCCGGGAACUCAAAGGAGACUGCCAGUGAUAAACUGGAGGAAGGUGGGGAUGACGUCAAGUCAUCAUGGCCCUUACGACCAGGGCUACACACGUGCUACAAUGGCGCAUACAAAGAGAAGCGACCUCGCGAGAGCAAGCGGACCUCAUAAAGUGCGUCGUAGUCCGGAUUGGAGUCUGCAACUCGACUCCAUGAAGUCGGAAUCGCUAGUAAUCGUGGAUCAGAAUGCCACGGUGAAUACGUUCCCGGGCCUUGUACACACCGCCCGUCACACCAUGGGAGUGGGUUGCAAAAGAAGUAGGUAGCUUAACCUUCGGGAGGGCGCUUACCACUUUGUGAUUCAUGACUGGGGUGAAGUCGUAACAAGGUAACCGUAGGGGAACCUGCGGUUGGAUCACCU